AUGUGGCAUCAACUCUAAAUAGGUAUGGGUAUAAGAAGAUGUGAACGUGAUUGAGAGCGAAGAUCAGAGAAGACGGCCUUCAGGAAUUUGGGUCACAACUCGGUCACGAUACGUAAACGCUCGACUCCAUGGUGUUUCUGAGACGGAUGUCGACAUUUCAAUCGGUUCCUAUUCUGAUGUCGGCCCUGUCAUCUGACGGCAUAUUCCGGCACCGACGGCAGCAGAUGGCUCUGGCCUGGCGUUGCUGUGACUGGUGCUGCCACCUACACAAGCAUCAGCUGACGGUGCUGCCAUCUGUCAAACUGCUUUCGGAGCCGACUGCAGCUCAUAUCUUGGACAUUUGUCUCCAAGGGCAGUCUUCCCUACUGUGGCUUUUCAACACCGUGGUAUUGGUAUUGUAUUGGAGG